rnacentral:rRNA from 1 species
AUUGAACGCUGGCGGCAGGCCUAACACAUGCAAGUCGAACGAGUGGCGGACGGGUGAGUAAUGUCUGGGAAACUGCCCGAUGGAGGGGGGUAACUACUGGAAACGGUAGCUAAUACCGCAUACCAGCGGAUGUGCCCAGAUGGGAUUAGCUAGUAGGUGGGGUAACGGCUCACCUAGGCGACGAUCGCUAGCUGGUCUGGGAGGAUGACCAGCCACACUGUACCUGAGACACGUGCCAAACUCCUACGGGAGGCAGCAGUGGGGAAGAGUGCACAAUGGGGGAAACCCUGAUGCAGCAACGCCGCGUGCGGGAGGUCGGCCUGCGGGUGGUAAACCGCUUUCAGCCAUGACGCGGUAGUGGCAGAAGAAGCACCGGCUAACUACGUGCCAGCAGCCGCGGUAAUAC